CCUACGGGAGGCAGCAGUAGGGAAUAUUGCUCAAUGGGGGAAACCCUGAAGCAGCAACGCAGCGUGGAGGAUGAAGGUUCUCGGAUUGUAAAAUUUCUUUUUUAGAGAAGUUAAUGACGGUAUCUAACGAAUAAGCAACGGCUAAUUUCGUGCCAGCAGCCGCGGUAAUACGGAGGGUGCAAGCGUUACUCGGAAUCACUGGGCGUAAAGCGCGCGUAGGCGGGAUAGCAAGUCAGAUGUGAAAUCCUAUGGCUUAACCAUAGAACUGCAUUUGAAACUGUUAUUCUAGAGUAUGGGAGAGGUAGGUGGAAUUCUUGGUGUAGGGGUAAAAUCCGUAGAGAUCAAGAAGAAUACUCAUUGCGAAGGCAGCCUGCUAGAACAUAACUGACGCUGAUGCGCGAAAGCGUGGGGAGCAAACAGGAUUAGAUACCCUUGUAGUC
rnacentral:rRNA from 1 species